rnacentral:sRNA from 1 species
CGGUAGAAAGUCAGAAGGUCACAAAGCUUGCAGGGUAAGUGACACAACUUGAAACUGCUUGGCCCUCUUUAAAAAGAAAUAAUAAAAUGGGAGAGAAUGAAGCAAGUUUACCUAAUACGUCUUUGCAAGGUAAAAAGAUGGCCUAUCAGAAGGUCCAUGCAGAUCAAAGAGCUCCAGGACACUCACAGUACUUAGACAAUGAUGACCUUCAAGCCACUGCCCUUGACUUAGAGUGGGACAUGGAGAAGGAACUAGAGGAGUCUGGUUUUGACCAAUUCCAGCUAGACAGUGCUGAGAAUCAGAACCUAGGGCAUUCAGAGACUAUAGACCUCAAUCUUGAUUCCGUUCAACCAGCAACUUCACCCAAAGGAAGGUUCCAGAGACUUCAAGAAGAAUCUGACUACAUUACCCAUUAUACACGAUCUGCACCAAAGAGCAAUCGCUGCAACUUUUGCCACGUCUUAAAAAUACUUUGCACAGCCACCAUUUUAUUUAUUUUUGGGAUUUUGAUAGGUUAUUAUGUACAUACAAAUUGCCCUUCAGAUGCUCCAUCUUCAGGAACAGUUGAUCCUCAGUUAUAUCAAGAGAUUCUCAAGACAAUCCAGGCAGAAGAUAUUAAGAAGUCUUUCAGAAAUUUGGUACAACUAUAUAAAAAUGAAGAUGACACGGAAAUUUCAAAGAAGAUUAAGACUCAGUGGACCUCUUUGGGCCUAGAAGAUGUACAGUUUGUCAAUUACUCUGUGCUGCUUAAUCUGCCAGGCCCUUCUCCCAGCACUGUGACUCUGAGCAGCAGUGGUCAAUGCUUUCACCCUAAUGGCCAGCCUUGCAGUGAAGAAGCCAGAAAAGAUAGCAGCCAAGACCUGCUCUAUUCAUAUGCAGCCUAUUCUGCCAAAGGAACUCUCAAGGCUGAAGUCAUCGAUGUGAGUUAUGGAAUGGCAGAUGAUUUAAAAAGGAUUAGGAAAAUAAAAAAUGUAACAAAUCAGAUCGCACUCCUGAAAUUAGGAAAAUUGCCACUGCUUUAUAAGGUUGGUCCAGUGAAUGUUAUUCAGUGGUUUGGUCAAUAUUUUGCCUUGUUUUGUUGGAAUUAUAUGCUUUUGUGAGUGUGGAGUGUGUGUGUGCAUAUAGGUGUGUGAGAGAGAGAAGGGGAGAGGAAGAAAGAGAGGCAGAGAGCGUCACAGAAAGAUGGCUUUUCCACAUGAGAACAUUUUAAUUUAAGAUAUUUAAGAACAAUAUAUUUAUACCCUUAUUUCUUUAGAGAGAAAAUACCUUAAGUCAGGUAACACUGAGUUUGUGGGACCUUAAUAAAAUUGGCAUACUCUUCAUAAUGGUACCUAUCUGGAAUAGUAAAAAAUGAGAACCACCGUGUGUUCAUCUUAUGACAUAUGUGAAACUUCUAAUCUAUUAUCAAAUGGACUAAUUAUCAUGUUCUCUAUGUUAGACAAGUAUCUAGAUGAUUUACACCCUUUAGUGAUUAUUUUGUCAACUAUAUAGCUACAGUUACUAACUGUGAUCAGGAUUUUAAUUAAAAUAUACUAUGCUAAGAGUAGCAGAAUUUUGAUUUAUUUUAUUUGAAUGGAAGUUUAUUAACACUCAUCCACAGAUACACUUACGUAAUUAAAGCAGCUCAAUCUAAGUUUCUGAUGAUGAACCAGCACAAUAGACAGCCACUACUGCUCAUUCUCGCUUCAUUUCCUUUUUCUAUUUUUUCUAAAAAAAGA